UGUAAUCGCUGCCAAAGGUGAUUCUAACAUGUAUUGACUCAGGGGUGUAAUCGCUGCCAAAGGUGAUUCUAACAUGUAUUGACUCAGGGGUGUAAUCGCUGCCAAAGGUGAUUCUAACAUGUAUUGACUCAGGGCUGUAAUCGCUGCCAAAGGUGAUUCUAACAUGUAUUGACUCAGGGGUGUAAUCGCUGCCAAAGGUGAUUCUAACAUGUAUUGACUCAGGGGUGUAAUCGCUGCCAAAGGUGAUUCUAACAUGUAUUGACUCAGGGCUGUAAUCGCUGCCAAAGGUGAUUCUAACAUGUAUUGACUCAGGGCUGUAAUCGCUGCCAAAGGUGAUUCUAACAUGUAUUGACUCAGGGGUGUAAUCGCUGCCAAAGGUGAUUCUAACAUGUAUUGACUCAGGGCUGUAAUCGCUGCCAAAGGUGAUUCUAACAUGUAUUGACUCAGGGGUGUAAUCGCUGCCAAAGGUGAUUCUAACAUGUAUUGACUCAGGGCUGUAAUCGCUGCCAAAGGUGAUUCUAACAUGUAUUGACUCAGGGGUGUAAUCGCUGCCAAAGGUGAUUCUAACAUGUAUUGACUCAGGGGUGUAAUCGCUGCCAAAGGUGAUUCUAACAUGUAUUGACUCAGGGCUGUAAUCGCUGCCAAAGGUGAUUCUAACAUGUAUUGACUCAGGGGGUUGAAUACUUAUCGAAUCAAUAUACUAUAUAUUCAUGUGUCUUUUUUUUAUUAUUAUUUUUUUUACAAAUGUUUGCAUUUUUCUUCUCCUUUUGACAUUAGUAUUUUGUGUAGAUCAUUGACAAAAAAGUGACAUUUGAAUCCCACUGUAACACAAUAAUGUGGGGAAAGUCAAGAGGUGUGAAUACUUUGAAGGCCCUGUAUAUGUACUUAUUAUCGCUAAUAAUGCUGUGUGCCUUUUUAAAAAUCUAGAACUGUGGUUCCUGUUGUUGCAGGAACUGCCAUCUAUGUCAGUCUGCUUGUGGAAAUUAGUUUGUGGUUAACAAAAUGUACCUGUUAGCGUGCAUUAAGGCACAUCACCCGAGGGAGGGGGAAGUUCCCGAGCCCAGAAAAUAAAUAUUGGUUCAUAAGCUUA